AGCGAACGCUGGCGGCAGGCCUAACACAUGCAAGUCGAACGAACUCUUCGGAGUUAGUGGCGGACGGGUGAGUAACACGUGGGAACGUGCCUUUUGGUUCGGAAUAACUCAGGGAAACUUGUGCUAAUACCGAAUGUGCCCUUCGGGGGAAAGAUUUAUCGCCAUUAGAGCGGCCCGCGUCUGAUUAGCUAGUUGGUGAGGUAACGGCUCACCAAGGCGACGAUCAGUAGCUGGUCUGAGAGGAUGACCAGCCACACUGGGACUGAGACACGGCCCAGACUCCUACGGGAGGCAGCAGUGGGGAAUCUUGCGCAAUGGGCGAAAGCCUGACGCAGCCAUGCCGCGUGAAUGAUGAAGGUCUUAGGAGUGUAAAAUUCUUUCACCGGGGACGAUAAUGACGGUACCCGGAGAAGAAGCCCCGGCUAACUUCGUG
rnacentral:rRNA from 1 species